ACUCAAAGGAAUAGACGGGGACCCGCACAAGCAGUGGAGCAUGUGGUUCAAUUCGACGCAACGCGAAAAACCUUACCUGGGUUUGACAUACUGGUGGUAGAAACUGGAAACAGUGACGACCCGCAAGGGAGCCAGAACAGGUGCUGCAUGGCUGUCGUCAGCUCGUGUCGUGAGAUGUAUGGUUAAGUCCUACAACGAGCGCAACCCUCGUCCUAUGUUGCUAAGGUCCGCAAGGAUACAGAACUCUUAGGAGACCGCCUCGGUAACGGGGAGGAAGGUGGGGAUGACGUCAAGUCCUCAUGGCCUUUAUGCCCAGGGCCACACACGUGCUACAAUGGCCGGUACAGAGCGAAGCAAGACCGCAAGGUGGAGCAAAUCGCAGAAAGCCGGCCCCAGUUCAGAUUGAGGGCUGAAACUCGCCCUCAUGAAGUUGGAAUUGCUAGUAAUCGCGUAUCAGCAGGUCGCGGUGAAUACGUUCCCGGGUCUUGUACACACCGCCCGU
rnacentral:rRNA from 1 species